rnacentral:rRNA from 1 species
UGAACGCUGGCGGCGUGCUUAACACAUGCAAGUCGAACGAAGCAUUUAAGACAGAUUACUUCGGUUUGAAGUCUUUUAUGACUGAGUGGCGGACGGGUGAGUAACGCGUGGGUAACCUGCCUCAUACAGGGGGAUAGCAGCUGGAAACGGCUGGUAAUACCGCAUAAGCGCACGGUAUCGCAUGAUACAGUGUGAAAAACUCCGGUGGUAUGAGAUGGACCCGCGUCUGAUUAGCUGGUUGGUGAGGUAACGGCCCACCAAGGCGACGAUCAGUAGCCGACCUGAGAGGGUGACCGGCCACAUUGGGACUGAGACACGGCCCAGACUCCUACGGGAGGCAGCAGUGGGGAAUAUUGCACAAUGGGGGAAACCCUGAUGCAGCGACGCCGCGUGAGCGAAGAAGUAUUUCGGUAUGUAAAGCUCUAUCAGCAGGGAAGAAGAAAUGACGGUACCUGACUAAGAAGCACCGGCUAAAUACGUG